rnacentral:rRNA from 1 species
CAGAGAUGCCUUGGUGCCUUCGGGAACGCUGAGACAGGUGCUGCAUGGCUGUCGUCAGCUCGUGUUGUGAAAUGUUGGGUUAAGUCCCGNAACGAGCGCAACCCUUAUCCUUUGUUGCCAGCGAUUCGGUCGGGAACUCAAAGGAGACUGCCGGUGAUAAACCGGAGGAAGGUGGGGAUGACGUCAAGUCAUCAUGGCCCUUACGAGUAGGGCUACACACGUGCUACAAUGGCGCAUACAAAGAGAAGCGACCUCGCGAGAGCAAGCGGACCUCAUAAAGUGCGUCGUAGUCCGGAUCGGAGUCUGCAACUCGACUCCGUGAAGUCGGAAUCGCUAGUAAUCGUGGAUCAGAAUGCCACGGUGAAUACGUUCCCGGGCCUUGUACACACCGCCCGUCACACCAUGGGAGUGGGUUGCAAAAGAAGUAGGUAGCUUAACCUCCGGGAGGGCGCUUACCACUUUGUGAUUCAUGACUGGGGUGAAGUCGUAACAAGGUAAGCGUAGCGAG